CGAGCGGAUCAGCGAAAGCACAUUCCGCCGCCUGUCCUCUCUCGCCGCUGUUCCGACGAGCUCGCCAGCCGGCGACCGACCCCUCUUCCGGCGGACCAACCCGCCAAAAGCGGCCGGACGCACGAGAGGCUUACCUCCCCGCGUACACCUGCCUGCCUCUUCGCCUUCCCGAGCCUCCUGCGCCCGGGCGGGCACCCGGCCUUGCGCGCCCGAACGCGUGCAGGCGGCACCGAACCCGCCUCCUAUUCCUCCCCGUCGGAGCUCGCCGGCCACGCGGAGGGAAUUCUUUUCCUCGCGGUCUUCCUCCUCGUCGUCGGUGGCUUCGUCGUACUCCAGGGCUUGGAUUGGCGUGGAGUGGAGAGCAGUGCUGACCUGGGAUUGAAUUCUGGUGUAUAGGUUCAGCGCCCCACACGAUAGGUCCAUCCCUAACCUUGUCAUCAGUUGGCAUCAGUUCAGUUCUUUCGCAGGCAGCUGCAACAACCUGCCGCUGCUCCUAUGCUCCAUUAGCUCAACUGACUGACUAGCUUUCUGAUCGAUCUAUGGAGGCAGGAAUACAUCCUUGAAAGUAGCUUGGUCGUCCUGUGCAUAACGUCCAUGCUGAUUUUCUUUUCACUCAGUGUUUCAUGGUUAAAAUGCAUUGUGGUUCCAGAGAUUCUUUAACACAUUCUGGGUUGGAUAUUGUCGGUAAUAAAUUUGAUUUUAUCAGCUUCUGUGCAGUAGUAUCUGGUUUCAUUUCAGUGUAGAAGCUGAGCUGCAAUGGACAGUGGCGGAAGAUUUGGUAACAUACUUAUAGUCUUAGC